rnacentral:lncRNA from 1 species
GCUCAUUCAAACCCACGCAAAAGCAUGCCGGAUGAGUAUAUUCAAGAUGUUGAAGAUCGUGUAUGCUAAUAUGACACCUAUGUCCCGAACAUUUAAUAAACAUAUGAAAUCGUAUAAAUUUUACCCGAUGACACUGAGAUAAUAAUAUACGGGUCAAACGAAUCGAACCAUAACCAUAUGCAAAUUUUGCAGUAAAUGCAC